rnacentral:rRNA from 1 species
AUUGAACGCUGGCGGCAGGCUUAACACAUGCAAGUCGAGCGGGGUGAUGGUGCUUGCACUAUCACUUAGCGGCGGACGGGUGAGUAAUGCUUAGGAAUCUGCCUAUUAGUGGGGGACAACAUCUCGAAAGGGAUGCUAAUACCGCAUACGUCCUACGGGAGAAAGCAGGGGAUCACUUGUGACCUUGCGCUAAUAGAUGAGCCUAAGUCGGAUUAGCUAGUUGGUGGGGUAAAGGCCUACCAAGGCGACGAUCUGUAGCGGGUCUGAGAGGAUGGUCCGCCACACUGGGACUGAGACACGGCCCAGACUCCUACGGGAGGCAGCAGUGGGGAAUAUUGGACAAUGGGGGGAACCCUGAUCCAGCCAUGCCGCGUGUGUGAAGAAGGCCUUAUGGUUGUAAAGCACUUUAGGCGAGGAGGAGGCUCUUUUGGUAAAUACCCAAGAUGAGUGGACGUUACUCGCAGAAUAAGCACCGGCUAACUCUGUGCCAGCCGCCGCCGUAA